rnacentral:rRNA from 1 species
CCUACGGGGGCUGCAGUGGGGAAUAUUGGACAAUGGGGGGAACCCUGAUCCAGCCAUGCCGCGUGUGUGAAGAAGGCCCUCGGGUUGUAAAGCACUUUCAGUGAGGAAGAACGCCUGGUGGUUAAUACCCAUCAGGAAAGACAUCACUCACAGAAGAAGCACCGGCUAACUCCGUGCCAGCAGCCGCGGUAAUACGGAGGGUGCGAGCGUUAAUCGGAAUUACUGGGCGUAAAGCGCGCGUAGGUGGCUUGAUAAGCCGGUUGUGAAAGCCCCGGGCUCAACCUGGGAACGGCAUCCGGAACUGUCAAGCUAGAGUGCAGGAGAGGAAGGUAGAAUUCCCGGUGUAGCGGUGAAAUGCGUAGAGAUCGGGAGGAAUACCAGUGGCGAAGGCGGCCUUCUGGACUGACACUGACACUGAGGUGCGAAAGCGUGGGUAGCAAACAGGAUUAGAUACCCUUGUAGUC